CGUAGGUUAGGUGGGCACUGGGACCAGCCCAUCUCAGCGUGAGUUCCUUCUACUCCUCGAAGUAGCUGCCUGAUCUUGGGCAAGACGCUGAACUCUUCUGGGCUUCUGUGUCCUCAAAUCCGUGCUGAGAGCCACCUUGAUGUAAACACAGGCCUAGGCAGUAUGGAGAGCGAGCAUUGCUUGCCUCCAAAGAGCCCUGAGCCCAGGCACUCACAACCUCUGCUGGGGAGUGAGGGCCGAUUUGUAGCAGCACUCUUGCUAGCCAGCCAGCUCAGCUCAGCGUUCCAAGAUGCAAGCUUGUAGGGCAGUGUGUCAAAUGUCCUUGGCAACCCAGAGGCUGUCACUUGCCAGCUUGCCAGUCUACCUGCCUGCCAUAAGCCUGUAUCCAGCAACCGCAUGCCAAGUACCGCCCAGGUAUUUCUCUGUGAAACAGUUCUGGCUGUCCUGGACUGCUGCCUCCCGAGUGCUGAGAUUAAAGGCAUGCAUCACCACCAC